rnacentral:tRNA from 1 species
GGAGGCGUGGCCGAGUGGUCGAAGGCAGCGGUCUUGAAAACCGCCGGGCGAAAGCUCCGUGGGUUCGAAUCCUACCGCCUCCGCCA